rnacentral:rRNA from 1 species
UACGAAGGGGGCUAGCGUUGCUCGGAAUCACUGGGCGUAAAGCGCACGUAGGCGGGUCGUUAAGUCGGGGGUGAAAUCCUGGAGCUCAACUCCAGAACUGCCUUCGAUACUGGCGAUCUUGAGUCUGGUAGAGGUGAGUGGAACUCCGAGUGUAGAGGUGAAAUUCGUAGAUAUUCGGAAGAACACCAGUGGCGAAGGCGGCUCACUGGCCCGGUACUGACGCUGAGGUGCGAAAGCGUGGGGAGCAAACAGG